rnacentral:rRNA from 1 species
AUGCCGGCCAAGGCCACCUCCGGCUACUUCCUGUCCGCCGCGCUCUCCAACGCCUCGACCCAUUCUUGGGCUCACGCGGCGCCGACGCCCGCCGCGACGCAUCACCCCUUCCUUGGCUUCUCCAGAAUGCACGCCGCCGGCGGCAAGCGGCGGCGCGUGCCGGGCGUUGGAGGCCGGCAAUGGAUAAGUGGCAGUGGUGGCCGGCAAUGGAUAAGUGGCAGUGGUAGCAGGGGGUUUUCUGUAAAAACAAAACAUUAUCUCAUCAGGAACACACUUAAAGUAGGACUGCGGGUUGAAUUCUCAGAAACGAAGGGACUUUAA